rnacentral:rRNA from 1 species
UGAGUAACCUGCCCUUAACUCUGGGAUAAGCCUGGGAAACUGGGUCUAAUACCGGAUAUGACUCCUCAUCGCAUGGUGGGGGGGUGGAAAGCUUUUUGUGGUUUUGGAUGGACUCGCGGCCUAUCAGCUUGUUGGUGAGGUAAUGGCUCACCAAGGCGACGACGGGUAGCCGGCCUGAGAGGGUGACCGGCCACACUAGGACUGAGGCACGGCCCAGACUCCUACGGGAGGCAG